UAUAAAAUAACUAAACACAGUUGCAAUUCGUCCCUACUUUUUGUUAGGCCACAUUGUCAUUUACCACUUUUGUAUAUUAUUGAGAUAUUCAUUAAAUAUCUAAAUUUAUAUUACUUCGAACACAAUACUGUAUGUUUACUUGAAAUCAUAAUAAAACAUAUAGUCAAAUUUUGAAUUUACUUAUGCAUUUAGGUUCUUCAUUUUAAUAUGGGGUAAUUCAGAAUUGUUUUGUGUAGUUUUCAUUUUAAUGUGUAGGUAACUAUAAAAUAUAUAGUCGAACUUUGUAAUUGUAUAACAGUGUAACAUUUCUUUUCAAAACAUUAUUAGAGGCAUCCAUACAAUUAACAUACACACACUUUAACCAAAAAACAUACAUACAUACAUACAUACAGUAGAUAUUUUCUAUAAAAUAUAUACAAAUCUAGCUAUUUUUUUUUUAAUAAUAAAAGGGCAUUCCAGUGCGCUAUGCACGAGGUCGGGGGAAGGGCGAACAACAAGGAUUUACUUUGAAUUUCUACAAUAGAUUGUUUCCACAACUUGAACCCGUGACUUCUAGUCACAUGACAACAACUUUACCAGUUGCGCCAAAUAUGCUUGAGAGGUAUCGACCAACACCCCUUCGUUGGAGAAUUACAUCUUGACACCUCUUGUUUUUUUCGUGAAUUUACUUCUUCAUAUUUUGACACUUCUUAGUGAAAAUUCUGGUUCCGCCACUACUUAAGUCGUCGUUAUAUUGCUUAAUUUUGACUUUCACUUGAAUUUGUAGGUAAGAAUUGUUUUGUGUGGCUCGGACCAAAACUAGCAGUGCUCAUUACAGAGCCAGAACUUAUAAGGGAGGUGCUAACAAAGAACUACAUUUAUCACAAGGCUACAAGCAGUCCAUUAUCUAAGUUGGCAAUAGGUGGCAUUGCUUCCUAUGAAGAAGAUAAAUGGGCCACACAUAGAAGAAUUCUCAAUCCUGCUUUUCACCUAGACAAGUUGAAGUAUAUGCUACCUGCAUUCAAAUUGACAAUUAGUGACGUGUUGAACAAAUGGAAAAAAGUUGUCUCAAAAGAAGGAUCGGAGAUAGAUGUGUGGCUAUAUCUUCAAACUUUGACAAGUGAUGCAAUUUCAAGAACUGCUUUUGGCAGUAAUUAUGAA